rnacentral:rRNA from 1 species
UACGUAGGGAGCAAGCGUUGUUCGGAUUUACUGGGCGUAAAGGGCGCGUAGGCGGCAUAUUAAGUCAUCUGUGAAAUCCCUCGGCUUAACCGGGGAACUGCGUCCGAUACUGGAUGGCUUGAGUUUGGGAGAGGGAUGCGGAAUUCCAGGUGUAGCGGUGAAAUGCGUAGAUAUCUGGAGGAACACCGGUGGCGAAGGCGGCAUCCUGGACCAACACUGACGCUGAGGAGCGAAAGCCAGGGGAGCAAACGGG